GUUGAACGCUAGCGGCAGGCCCAAUACAUGCAAGCUGAACGGUAAAUGUUGUAGCAAUACAAUAUCAGAGUAGCGUAAGGGUGCGUAACACGUAUGCAAUUUGCCCGUAACUGAGGAAUAGCUCCCCGAAAGGGGAAUUAAUACCUCAUAACAUCCCAGGAGGGCAUCCGAAAGGGAUUAAAGCUUUGGCGGUUAUGGAUAAGCAUGCGCCUGAUUAGUUAGUUGGUGAGGUAACGGCUCACCAAGACGAUGAUCAGUAGGGGAACUGAGAGGUUGAUCCCCCACACUGGCACUGAGAUACGGGCCAGACUCCUACGGGAGGCAGCAGUAGGGAAUAUUGGUCAAUGGGUGAGAGCCUGAACCAGCCAUGCCGCGUGCAGGAAGACGGCCUUCUGGGUUGUAAACUGCUUUUGUCAGGGGAUAAAAUACCCGUGCGCGGGGAAUUGAAGGUACCUGAUGAAUAAGCCACGGCUAACUACGUGCCAGCAGCCGCCGUAAAAC
rnacentral:rRNA from 1 species